rfam:Ovis aries breed Texel chromosome 4, whole genome shotgun sequence.
UCUCUGCUGGCUCAGAUGGUAAAGAAUCUGCCUGCAAAGCAGGAGGCCUGGGUUCGAUCCCUGGGUUGGGAA